rnacentral:rRNA from 1 species
GGACCAUCAUGUCGGUCGUGCCUCGGUACGUACUGGUAUUGUUGGUUUCUCCCUUCUGACGAACCAUGAUGUCAUUUAUUUGGUGUUGUGGGGAAUCAGGACUGUUACUUUGAAAAAAUUAGAGUGUUUAAAGCAGGCUCACGCUUGAAUACAUUAGCAUGGAAUAAUGAAAUAGGACGUUUGAUUCUAUUUUGUUGGGUUCUAGGCAUCGACGUA